UACAGAGGGGGCAAGCGUUGUUCGGAAUUACUGGGCGUAAAGGGCGCGUAGGCGGCCUGUUAAGUCAGACGUGAAAUCCCCGGGCUCAACCCGGGAACUGCGUCUGAUACUGGCAGGCUUGAAUCCGGGAGAGGGAUGCGGAAUUCCAGGUGUAGCGGUGAAAUGCGUAGAUAUCGGGAGGAAUACCGGUGGCGAAAGCGACUCUCUGGACGGUGACUGACGCUGAGGCACGAAAGCCAGGGGAGCAAACGGG
rnacentral:rRNA from 1 species